rnacentral:tRNA from 1 species
ACCUGGCUGGCUCAGUUGGUAGAGCGUGAGACUCUUAAUCUCAGGGUUAUGAGUUCAAGCUCCAUGUUGGGUG